CUGUGGUGGACUUUUGGUAGCGGCACCAAACUGGAAGUUGGCAGCAACGCUGCCCCCGUCCUCACGGUCCUGCCCCCGUCCAGUCAAGAGGUGUCCGGUAAGAACAAGGCCACGCUGACGUGUCUGGCCAACAAGGGCUUCCCCUCCGACUGGAAGCUGGAGUGGACGGUGGACGGCAGGACCAAGCCUGGGGACGCGAGCCGCGGACUCCUGGACAAGGACGGCAAGUACAGCUGGAGCAGCACGCUGACCCUCCCUGCGGACGAGUGGACGAAGGCGGGCACGGUGGUCUGCAAGGCCACUCAGGGCUCCCAGACUCCAGUUCUGGAGACGAUGAAGAGAGCCGACUGCCCCGUGUAGAUGGGCGUCUCAUUACUGUGUUUUUACUCUGUGCUCUACUCCACUCUUACU